rnacentral:rRNA from 1 species
UGGGGAAUAUUGCGCAAUGGGCGAAAGCCUGACGCAGCGACGCCGCGUGGGGGAUGAAGCAUUUCGGUGUGUAAACCCCUGUUGCUCGGGACGAACAACUGGUUUUGACCAGUCUGACGGUACCGGGUGAGGAAGCACCGGCUAACUCCGUGCCAGCAGCCGCGGUAAUACGGAGGGUGCGAGCGUUGUCCGGAAUCACUGGGCGUAAAGGGCGCGUAGGCGGUCUGCUAAGCGUGUGGUGAAAGCUCGGGGCUCAACCCCGAGUCUGCCAUGCGAACUGGUGGACUUGAGCACUGUAGAGGCAGGUGGAAUUCCGGGUGUAGCGGUGGAAUGCGUAGAGAUCCGGAAGAACACCAGUGGCGAAGGCGGCCUGCUGGGCAGUUGCUGACGCUGAGGCGCGACAGCGUGGGGAGCAAACAG